rnacentral:misc_RNA from 1 species
GAUGAAGAACGCAGCGAAAUGCGAUACUUGGUGUGAAUUGCAGAAUCCCGUGAACCAUCGAGUCUUUGAACGCAAGUUGCGCCCGAAGCCACUAGGCCGAGGGCACGCCUGCCUGGGCGUCACACGCCGUUGCCCCCCCAUCUACUCCUUCGGGAUUGCGGGGGGGCGGAUGAUGGCCUCCUGUGCGCCUAGCCGCGCGGUUGGCAUAAAUACCAAGUCCUCGGCGACGCACGCCACGACAAUCGGUGGUUGCGAAACCUCGGUUGCCCGUCGUGUGCGUUCGUCGCGCAUCGAGGGCUCGAAAAAAUGCUCGGCUCCGGCUGGGCUUUCAACGCGACCCCAGGUCAGGCGGGGUUACCCGCUGAAUUUAAGCAUAUCAGUAAGCGGAGGA